rnacentral:rRNA from 1 species
CCUACGGGGGGGCUGCAGUAAGGAAUAUUGGUCAAUGGAGGAAACUCUGAACCAGCCAUCCCGCGUGAAGGAUGAAGGGGCUCUGCCUUGUAAACUUCUUUUGUCUGGGGCGAAAAAGCUCGAUUUAUCGAGAACUGACGGUACCAGAAGAAUAAGCACCGGCUAACUCCGUGCCAGCAGCCGCGGUAAUAAGGAGGGUGCAGGAGUUAUCCGGAAUCACUGGGUGUAGAGGGCGUGUUAAGGGCGUGGUGAAAGGCUGUGGCUUAACCAUGGAAUUGCCAUUGAUACUGCAGAGCUUGAAUGAGGUUGAGGUUGGCGGAAUGUGACAUGUAGCGGUGAAAUGCUUAGAUAUGUCAUGGAACACCGAUUGCGAAGGCAGCUGACUGGACCUAUAUUGACGCUGAGGCACGAAAGCGUGGGGAGCGAACAGGAUUAGAUACCCGAGUAGUC